CGGGAGCUCUUUUGUUCUGUUCGCACACCCGGCGGCCGUAGGGAGCUCGCGGGGCACAGCCGGUCCAGGCCGGGGAGCGCAGGGCCGCGUGCGGACCUGGGCCAGCCCCGCUCAUUCCUGCGCGGUGCCGAGACUGGCGCGGCGGCUGGGGUUGUGCGUGACGUGGGGUGGACCCGCGUGGGGGCGGAACCUGUCGGAAGUCGGGUCUCCGCGGCCUCGCAGGCGGUCGGCUUCCCGAGUCGCUCAGUCGCCGUCAGGAGCUCUCGCAGGUUUGUCCCAGCGGCCGGAGGGAGCGAAGCCCCGGCCCAGGGCGCGCUGGGCACCAGAUCCCCGAGUCGCAGAGCGUGCUCUUCAGCUCCUUCCUCGUUAGUAUAGUGAGGAAGGAAAGGGAAGGAAGAAGGUAAAAGAUAGUGGGUCCUCACUCGUUCUAAAAGCUCGGCGCGCAGCCCUCUGUGGUGGCCAGAGGAUCCCGGCAGACCCCUGAUCCCGGAGAGGGCGGCGAAAAGUUCUAAAAUCGAAGGCUCUUGCGUUGGCCGGGAAUCGAACCCGGGUCAACUGCUUGGAAGGCAGCUAUGCUCACCACUAUACCACCAACGCCCGCUGGCGAACCUUGCUCCCCACGCUAGAACUUCCGAACGUGCGCAGGCGCAGGGCCUGCGAGAAGCCCCCUCCGAGCUCGAGCGCAGGACGCACGUCAACGAAGCCGCGACCGAGGCGGCAGGUGACACGCAGCCUACAGAUGAGAAACCGAAGUUCAGAGGACCUAUGUGAAGGGGCUCUCGGAGUCACUGGGAGAGCCUCGGUUAUAUCUAAGAUUGUCUGGGGGGCCAGGACUGCCGCGACACCGCGUUGGCUUUGUCACCCCCAGAAACAAGUCCCAAACGCACAGAUCGCUUCUCUGUUGGGCGAACCCCAUGUGUCGCAAGGUUGAAGAAGUGAGCCUUGCGCCAAGCGCGCCUGAGCACAUCUACCCACAGUAGGAGCUUUGAUUCCUAGGUGUUCACUCCCGGCUCUCGAAAGGACGCGGACAGAACCUUCGGGGCCGGCCGUGAGGCUGUGGCUCCGCCCCUUAUCGCUGACGAUCGAUCUGUUCACGAGAUCCGUGCAACCCCCGGCUCGGGGAGGCCUCGUGGCGCAACGGUAGCGCGUCUGACUCCAGAUCAGAAGGUUGCGUGUUCAAAUCACGUCGGGGUCACGAAAGCUUGCAAUUUUAGAUACAUGUUGAUAUUUUUCGGAGAAAGAAAGGGGGGGAAGAAAAGGUUUGUUUCUACGUAUGAAAAAAAUACAAACCUCAGCGUUCCUGUGAUUUUGCUUUUCCCAAAGUGUAUGGAUUUUCUCCUGAAAUACAAAUGUUGGAACGUCUAUUGCAGCUUUCCAGUAGUGAUCCAUUUAAUCUCAGAUAUCUUAGGUAUCCCAACACAAACUGUUCACGGGGAGCUGCUAGUUCUUGUUCAGAAAAUGUACUUGGAACAAUAAAGAUUCUUUAUUGGAAGGGAUGUAGCAAGAAUUGGUAAUUAUUAUAAGUAACAAUUAAUGAAUUAAAGAGAUGUUUUCCAGGGGCGCCUGGGUGGCUUAGUUGGUUGGGCCUGCGACUUGAGCUCAGGUCAUGAUCUCGUGGUUUGUGAGUUGGAGCCACACUAGGGAAUCUGUGCUGACAGCUCAGAGCCUGAAUCCUGCUUCAGAUUCUGUCUGCCCCUCCCCUGCUCAUGCUCUGUCUCUCUCUCUCUCUGUCUCUCAAUGAUAAACAUUUAAAAAAAAGAGAGAGGUGUUCUCCAGACUUCUCAAUGGUGACUAGAAGCUUGGAGCCACCUGCAUUUUUGCUGCUUCUGGUCUAUUGGGGGACCAAAGAAAUACAGGCCAGCCACUCUAUAAGCCUUGUCUUUCCCAGCAGGCAAUUCUUCCUGGACAUCUCUUUCCUUAACAGUGUGUUUGUCUGAAAGUACCAGACCUGGGCUGGGCCAGCUCUGCACCCCGCACAGGGCAGACACCUGCACGAUGUUGGGCCCUCCCUGUCUGCUCCGCCCCCUGUCUGCUCUCCCGGUUCAGUGAACUGCUUUUAAUUCGUAAAGAACAUCUUGCUCUCAUCCACUGGGGCCAGGUGAUGCCUUAGUCAUAAUGAUAGCUGACACUGAGGGCUUGCUGUGGGCCAGCCACGGAGCCAAGCGCUUUAGAGACCUUUCCUCAAUUAAUCCUGAUAGCCAGCUUGCAAGGCUGUAUAACCAUGCCCACCUUAGAGCUGACACUCAGCAGGAUUGAACCGUUUGCCAAGCAACACAGAUUGCAAGUGGUGGGCUCAGAGGCAAACGCGUAAUGCCCAAGCCCACAGGCUUUCUCCUGCAUGGUGUUCCCUAAGAGCCCCCCUGAGGAGUGACCAGGUAAGGUUAGCGGCCCCAGGGGAAGGGAGGAUGAUCUCGGAGUGUGGUUUAUGGUCCAGAAGAGUCCUGGGAUUAGGGAUGGGAUGUUUGUAGUCUAGAGACCAAAUCCAGUCCACAGACAUGUUUGGCGACUGAUUUGCCAACACUGACAGCUCAGUCAAUUUCACACGUAAAUCUAGAUUCCUAGCUUCUCUUGAAAAUUCAAAAGAUCCGUCCACACCUGGGGGCUACGCUUUCACAUAGUAACAAUCCACUAGAGCCGAGUCUUGCCUCGUGUUUCAGACAUGCCUUCCCCCUUUGACACACUCCCCAUCACAGAAGCUGAGGUCAAUCAUACACCAAUCUAGGGAUGAUCCAAAAAACCUGGGGUUUGGAAAAAGCCUGGAUUUUUGGCAGGAACAGGACAGUGAGUUCCCACGCUGACCCCUUUUGCUUCAGAUGCAUAGCACUGAUAGAUAAAAUAUAAAAUAUAGAGAACUAAAAGGCCAUAGAAAGGCUUACAAAUGAAAAAUUCAGUAGUCCAAAUGCAAAACCUUGAACUGGCCUGAUGAAGGAAACGGGAUCCUGACUGGGGACAGAGAGGGAAGCCAGAGCCUCAGUGCUAUCCUUGUAUCAGAAAAGGAGGCUGUAAAACAAACCACCAACUCCCUGCCUGGAACCACAGGCCCGAAAGGGCAGGAGGACUCAGAUGUGGCUCAAGACCAGAAACAUGUCCAACUUUCCCUCUCCCCCGUGAUUGCAUUUGAGAUACCCUCAAUAUCACAGUGAGGCAGGAGCCCCAGAUAGCAUGAUAAGAACUGAUUUUUUGACUGGGAGCGAGGAGGUAACAACAAUGGCCAGAUUGUAGGUCAGGGAGCAAUGUGUGACAUGAAGAGAGAGAGAGAAAACAACAAAAUGAAACACUCUUCUGGCCCAGACGACAUUACAAACCCAAAUCCCAAAACGUAUGAAGAAGCAUAAGUGGAACAGAGACAAUAAUUGGAAGAUAUGAAAAUAAGUCUAUGGGGCAGUCCGGCAGAGAAUUUAAAGUAAGUGUGACUGGGAUAUGUAAAAAGAUAAAUAACAAAAUCAAAUCAUGAGACAAAAAGACAAAGAUUCAAUAAAGUCAUAUGGAUAGGCAACUGACCAAUUAGAAAUCUCACACAUGGAUGACAGAUGUAAUAAAAGAAGUCUAGGUAGGGGUGCCUGGCUGGCUCAGUCGGUUAAGCCUCCGACUCUAGGUUUCAGCUCAGGUCAUGAUCUCGUGGUUUCCUGAGUUCAAGGUCCACAUUGGGCUCUGCACUGACAGUGCAGAACCUGCUUGGAAUUCUGUCUCUCCCUCUCUCUCUGCCCCUCCCCUACUCACACUGUCUCUGUCUCUCUUAAAAUAAAUAAACUUUAAAAAAAAGUCUAUCUUACAUCUUAAACUGGGAACAGUCUGAGAGAGAUUUAGCUAUUAAAAAAAAAAUAGAA